rnacentral:rRNA from 1 species
UACGGAGGGUGCAAGCGUUAUCCGGAUUUACUGGGUUUAAAGGGUGCGUAGGUGGAUAAGUAAGUCAGUGGUGAAAUCUCCGGGCUUAACCCGGAAACUGCCAUUGAUACUAUUUGUCUUGAAUACUUUGGAGGUAAGCGGAAUAUGUCAUGUAGCGGUGAAAUGCUUAGAUAUGACAUAGAACACCAAUUGCGAAGGCAGCUUACUACACAGUGAUUGACACUGAGGCACGAAAGCGUGGGGAGCGAACAG